rnacentral:lncRNA from 1 species
GUCCUCCUGAUACUACUCGAUUUACUUUGCAUCAAUUUAUAUAAAUCUUCCUGUUUUUUUUUUUCGUGGAAACUAUUCCCUUCAUUAUUUUUUAUCACACAUUAUUCCAUCACAUUCAUGUAUCAUGGCUUGAUCAGCCAUUCCUUAAUUAAUGGACAUUCUCUCAAUUUCCAGUUCUUUGCCACUUUAAAAAAAAAAAAAAGAGAGCUAACAUAAAGGUUUUUGUACAUAUGCAUUCUUUUCUUUUCUUUUUUUUUUUCUUAAAUCUCCUUGGGGGUAUAGACAUAGAAGAGGUAUUGCUGAGUCAAUAGAUAUGCACAGUUUUUAGCUUUUUGGACAUAGUUCCAAAUUGUUUUUCACAAUGAUUAAAUCAAGUUACAACUCUACCAAUAAUGAAUUAAUUUCCCCCCCACAUCCUCUUCAAUAUGUUAUCCUCCUUUUCUUUCAUUUUAGCCUGUCUGAUGGAUGUGAUGUAAUACUUUAAAACUGUUUUAAAUUUACUACUCUAACCAAUAGUGGUCUAGAGCAUUUUUCUUUUUGAUUCUUGAUAGCUUUGAGUUCUUCCUCUGAAAAUGGCCUGUUCAUAUCUUUUGACUACCAAUCAAGUGAGGGAAUAGUUCCUUUUUUUAAAAAAAAUAACUUUGGCUCAUUUCUCUAUCUAGUUGAAAAAUAAUACCUUUAUCAGAGAAACUUGUUGCAAAUUUUUCUUCCAGUUUCCUGAUUCUCUUCUGAUUUGGACUGCAUUAGUUUUGUUUGUGCAAAACCUUUUUAAUUUUUUGUAAUAAGUAUUAUCAAUUUUAUCUCUAUUAUGAUUCUAACACUCUCUUAAACUCUAACUUGAAUGAAAAAAUGUCUGACAUCUUCCUUGAAUAAAUGUCAUUUUCUUCUUAUCCACUGAACUUAUUAGUUUUUCACACAUAUUUUCUGUUUAGAAUAGUGAGGUAGAUUGGACCUGAUAUUUCUUACCUUUCUCUAGGUCAAUGUCUAUGAUAAGCAAAUAACUUUUAACUAUAAAUUCCUAUUAUUGUUCUAUAAGAAAUGAUGAGCAGGCUAAUUUCAGAAAAGCCUGGAAAGACCUAAGUGAACUGAUGCUGAGUGAUUUGAGUAGAACCAGGAGAACAUGGUACACAGUAGCAACAAUAUUGUGUAAAGAUCAACUGUGAUGGACUUGACUCUUCUCAACAAUGUGAUGAUUCAAAGCAAUUCCAACAGACUUCUAAUGGAAAGUAUCAUCAGCAUCAAAAGAGAGAAUUUAUGCUUACUGAAUAUGGAAAAAAAGCAUAGUUUUUCACCUUUAUGCUUGUUUGUUA